rnacentral:rRNA from 1 species
UCGGGAAUUUUGGGCAAUGGGCGAAAGCCUGACCCAGCAACGCCGCGUGCGGGAUGAAGGCCUUCGGGUUGUAAACCGCUUUCAGUGGGGACGAACCAAGACGGUACCCACAGAAGAAGCCCGGCCAACUACGUGCCAGCAGCCGCGGUAACACGUAGGGGGCAAGCGUUGUCCGGAUUCAUUGGGCGUAAAGAGCUCGUAGGCGGUUCGAUAAGUCGGGUGUGAAACCUCCAGGCUCAACCUGGAGACGCCACCCGAUACUGUCGUGACUAGAGUCCAGUAGGGGAGCGUGGAAUUCCUGGUGUAGCGGUGAAAUGCGCAGAUAUCAGGAGGAACACCAGCGGCGAAGGCGGCGCUCUGGGCUGGAACUGACGCUGAGGAGCGAAAGCGUGGGGAGCGAACAGGAUUAGAUACCCACGUAGUCCCUGAGCGGGCUGGCAAGGCGCAU